rnacentral:tRNA from 1 species
AAUUAUAUAGUCUAAAGGAUAUUAAAUUGCAAAUUUAAAGGUGAAUUUAAUUCUAUAAUUU